rnacentral:tRNA from 1 species
GAGGGUAUAGCUCAGUGAUAGAGCACCUGCUUAUCAUGUAAGAAGCCCUGUGUUCAAUUCCCAGUACCUCCA